UCUCCGUUUGUGAACCAGCGGAGGGAUCAUUACCGAGUUUACAACUCCCAAACCCCUGUGAACAUACCUAUCGUUGCCUCGGCGGUGCCCGCUCCGGCGGCCCGCCAGAGGACCCCCAAACUCUUGUUUUAUACAGUAUCUUCUGAGUAACACGAUUAAAUAAAUCAAAACUUUCAACAACGGAUCUCUUGGCUCUG
rnacentral:misc_RNA from 1 species